GGGGAGUCCCUCAGCCUGGAUUGCAAGAGGGUGCAGGCCAGGCCGAGGGACCCCAC
rnacentral:pre_miRNA from 1 species